GAUGAGCGCUGGCGGCGUGCCUAAUACAUGCAAGUCGAGCGAAUGGAUUAAGAGCUUGCUCUUAUGAAGUUAGCGGCGGACGGGUGAGUAACACGUGGGUAACCUGCCCAUAGGACUGGGAUAACUCCGGGAAACCGGGGCUAAUACCGGAUAACAUUUUGAACCGCAUGGUUCGAAAUUGAAAGGCGGCUUCGGCUGUCACUUAUGGAUGGACCCGCGUCGCAUUAGCUAGUUGGUGAGGUAACGGCUCACCAAGGCAACGAUGCGUAGCCGCACUGAGAGGGUGAUCGGCAACACUGGGACUGAGACACGGCCCAGACUCCUACGGGAGGCAGCAGUAGGGAAGCUUCCGCAAUGGACGAAAGUCUGACGAAGCAACGCCGCGUGAGUGAGGAAGGCUUUCGGGUCGUAAAACUCUGUUGUUAGGGAAGAACAAGUGCUAGUUGAAUAAGCUGGCACCUUGACGGUACCUAACCAGAAAGCCACGGCUAACUACGUGCCAGCCGCCGCAGUAA
rnacentral:rRNA from 1 species